rnacentral:lncRNA from 1 species
GUAGAAAUUAGCUCCGAUUGAUUAAAGGAAAUUUAGGAAAAUUUCACAAGUCUCGGGGAAUUUAGUUUAAUUAUUAUAUCAUUAGAGAUAAAAGGUUUCUUUAUUUUAAUAGUGAUUAAAUUAGUUAUUUUGUAACAUAUUUCAGGUGGUGACGAAGAAAUUGAAAAAGCAUACCGACCGGUCUAGUCUGUAACUCGUAUUGAGUGAGUGGAUGAAAAUUAAUUUUUCAACAAUAAGUAUUUAUUCAAUUUAUAUUAAAUCAGAAAAUUUAUUAUUUUAUACAGUUGAUUUGAUAGCAUAAUUUUCAGAAUAAAGUUGACUUAUAAAUAGUUGUUUUAAAGUUUGAUCCAAUUCAAUUAAAUAAUUUCUUUAGCAUAUUUUAUCGGUACUACGUGUUUCAGAAUAUUUAAAGUUAUUUCUAAAAACCAUCAGAAAGUACCCAGGUGAUUUUACCCCAAUUUGCACUGGUGUGAAUGUGUUUACACAGUGUAUGACUAGUUACGGUGAUUUUAUCCGCUUUACAUUAUUGUGAAUAUGUUUCCAUAGUGUAUGACCAGAACUACAGAAUCUCAGCUCUGUGCGCGUAUUACCAGAAUUUAAGAAUUACAGAAUUACAGAAUCGAAUAGCUCUGCCAUGUAUAUCGAUACUUAUUGAUAUAUGAGUAAGGUUAUUUCGAGUAUCUUUUUGGUGUGAUUUUCAGUAAAUUGCAGUUCAUCAGUUUUCAGAUUACAGAAUUUAGUCAUUUCAAUUUAAAUAAUAAAUGUUUUAGCUUAUAGUACAAUAAAAGAACAUUUAUAUUAUAUACUAGUUUUCAGAAAGUUGGCAUAUCUAGAAAAUAUAUAUUUACUUUGGAAUAUCCACUCACUGAGUUAUAGGCUCACAUUUUUAUCACAAUUUCUCUUAUCAGAUAGUAGCUGAGUUGAGCACUACUCGACCAGUUGAUCUAUCGAGUUGAGCCAUAGAUUGUCAAGCAUUGUAUGACUCAUCUUAUCAGUUUAAUAGUCCAUAUUUUGGGAUAGACACCUCUUUUAGUCAGAAAUUAGUUCCAUGUUUUAGGUUUGCUAUGUUUUGUAUAUAUUAUGCAUUUUGGGUACUGUGAUUUAUAAAUUGUUGCAAAGGUCGAAUUGUCAGUAUUGUAUUUGAAUAGUUGAUAGUGGGCCAAUGUACCCUAUUUUAAAUUAUAUGUAUUUGUUUGGGAUAUUGGAUUAUAUAUUUUAGGUGGCUUUAGUCCAAAGGGGGAACUCUGCCAAAAUUUUUACAAAGUAUAUUACAGUCAAAACAGGUCAAAGUUGCCUUGAUGGUGGGUUCGACACUUGGCUGGUAUCUACCAUUGGCACACGACACGUGUCGGGUCUAUUAGGAUGAUUCGGGACAGAUCGUGUCAUAAUAUCUAUUCCAUUAAGCUGAAUUGCAGAUUUCUAGCAGGGAAGCUAACAUUGAAGUUGAUUAAAGAGGGGUUCUAACAGGUUAAUUAUAAGCUUCACAGCUUGCUUACAGUAUCGGUGUUCUGAAACAUUCAGAACGCCAUUUAAAUUUACUGAUUAAUAUUUCUUCAAGAACAGCUAC